CUGAGUGAGGGCCCCCCGGGGUCCAACCUCCCACCCGUGUUUAAUUGUACCUUGUUGCUUCGGCAGGCCCGCCUCACGGCCGCCGGGGGGCUUCUGCCCCCGGGCCCGCGCCUGCCGGAGACAAUCUUGAACUCUGUCUGAAGAAUGCAGUCUGAGCGAUAAGCAAAAUUAGUUA
rnacentral:misc_RNA from 1 species